GCUCCCUCUUAUCUUUUUCUCUUUUCUUUCUUUUUUUUUUUUUUUAUUUUUGUUUUAGUAUUCGUUUGCUCUUCCCUGCCGCUCGCACUCUGCCUCUCUCCCGCUUGCCGCUGCCGUUUCAGCAAGCCAUCCCGCCGCGCCGGAUUUUUCCCGCAGUCUCCAUCGCCGGGGAGCGGUUUCUGUCCGGCUGCAAAUGUUGCACAUGCAGAAGAUGGUGAUUGGACAAGUUGCUGGAGCAGCACCCUGAGGAAUGGUAAACAUGCAUUUUUCUUUCAAGCAGGAAUAAUUGCAAUGGCACAAAAAUAUCCACAGACCUCCACAAGAUCCCUGACUCGGAAAAGAAGAGAGUAAGAGUUUUUCACAGCAGUUUUCACAGGCAGAUGCUUAAAUUCCCAUGUAAUUUUGUCUCUUCGUGCAAAUCUAUGGGCCCUGACUUAUCAGUGCUGUAAGGGGCCAUUACAAAACCUGAUUGUUUGCUUUAAAUAGCAAGAAAAUGGGGCUUGUAUCUGAACCUGACCGCUGCAUUUGUCUACAGACAGAUUAACUAACUGAAACAAUGGGGAAGGAAUAAAACAAACCACAACCUGUAAAAAUGUUUUCACAAAUAAAUAACCUUGAUAGAAUUAAAUUCUGUACUGAAAGCUGUUUCUGUUUAAAUAUUUUGGGCCAUUUUAAGCAUUCAGGAUGAGGUGCAAUUGAAUGAGCCUCCCAGUUUUAAAAAGUAGGUCUGUAGCAAGAGGUCACAAAUAGUUGACAUCUUCAGAAUUUCUAGUGAGAUAGUAAAAUAUAUAAAUUACUUGUUUAAAACACAAAAAAAAAAAAAAAAA